rnacentral:rRNA from 1 species
AGAACGAACGCUGGCGGCAGGCUUAACACAUGCAAGUCGAACGCCCCGCAAGGGGAGUGGCAGACGGGUGAGUAACGCGUGGGAAUCUACCUGAUACUACGGAACAACUGAGGGAAACUUCAGCUAAUACCGUAUACGCCCUAAGGGGGAAAGAUUUAUCGGUAUCAGAUGAGCCCGCGUUGGAUUAGCUAGUUGGUGGGGUAAUGGCCUACCAAGGCGACGAUCCAUAGCUGGUCUGAGAGGAUGAUCAGCCACACUGGGACUGAGACACGGCCCAGACUCCUACGGGAGCAGCAGUGGGGAAUAUGGACAAUGGGCGAAAGCCUGAUCCAGCCAUGCCGCGUGAGUGAUGAAGGCCUUAGGUGUAAAGCUCUUUCAGUGGGGACGAUAAUGACGGUACCCACAGAAGAAGCCCCGGCUAACUUCGUGCCAGCAGCCGC